AACUUUUACAAUUAAAAAGUAUAUAGGGACAUAAGAAUCAGAGCCAAAGAAGUGUGAAUUUGAAGAAAUCUGGGGUCAAUGUGCUUCUUGCAGACUCAAGAUCAACCAUCCCACACAG